rnacentral:lncRNA from 1 species
AUCUGCCCACCUCAGCCUCCCAAACUGCUGGGACUACAGGCGUGAGCCACCGCGCCGGGCCUGCGACGCAUUCUAAGACAGAUUUUCUCAUACUUUGUUUUGGUCAAAUAUGUACUAAUAGUAAUUGUAAUAAUUCAAUCUAGAACAAAAGUAUUUCUAACACUUAGAGUUUAUGGUCACAGGAAAUUUAAACAAAUUUCAAUUUUAGAGUGUUACAGAGAAUUAUGUAUGAGCAAAAGGAGACUUUCAUUCCUAAAGUUGUAGUAGGGUAAAUGUUUUGGGACAGAGUUGUAGGUAUGGGAGUGGAAUGGAAAAACACGUGUAAGCAGAGGUUUCUGACUGUUGUAUAGAUGUGUAUUUUUAACCAGAUGAAGGUGGGUGUCCAACUGCAGUGGAGGUUACAUUCCGUUGGAUACAUUUAGAACUGAUUUAAUAAUUUAGCUAAUAUUUAUAACAAUAGAAACUAUACUUUUUGCAACUAUUUAAAUUUAAAAUGAAGAAUUUUACGUAUUAAGCUUAGAUAUGCAUAGAUGUAAAUUUUUUUUUAGGGUACACAAGGGUAAGAAAGGUUGAAAAUGGCUACUUUACACUUGUCCUUGUAAAGCAGUGCCCACUUAUCCCUGGCUUUGCUCUUUCUGUCAGCCAGAUUCCCUUUCAGGGUCUGACUAGCUUUCGCUCUCCUUCUCGGCCCCUUCAUCCAGUGUGACUUUGCUGUGAAGCUGUUGGGUAAGGUGAAGGUUGGUGUGGCUUUGAUAACACUGGCCAGCUUUCGUUUAUUUAUCUGCUUUUUUCUUCUCUUCAUGUGUGUGGCUUUGGGCAGGCUCCCCUGGCUUGUCUGACAUUGAGGUCUGUUCAUCCCCACGUCUUCCUUCUGAUUUUCCUCAUGGUCAAAAGCUUGGUAAACCUCUCACUUUCUGUCCCAUUCAUCUUCAAUAGCUAGAGGUUAUACCUGGGGCUAUAAAAAUUGGUUGCUGAGAAAUUCUGAUACUGCCUGGUCCCAGUGAUUUAAUACAUAUAUUUGACGUUUUGCCUCCACACCUCCUAGGCUGGGUCACUAUUUAGUACCACAGACUGCCCAUGUCGGGUUGGCUGAGAAAUGGGGCCCUGUCCCUAGAGCUCCUCUUGUCGGGAUCAUUGGCCGGUAUCUUUGGCUCCUCAGGGACUCCCUAACCCACAGUCUUCAAGGAGUUGCAUUAAUUCUCUGUUAUUCUAGACAUUUAAUUAGUGCGCAGAAGCACACACUAUUAGGUGCUGGAGCCUCAGAGAUGAACCAUGCUUAGGGUCAUUUUCAGGGUGUCUCUCCACCUCUUAGGGUUGAUAGACCACAUGGCUAGCAAACGGCCUUGUUAUUGAGGAAUUCUGCAGUUAUCCUUCACCUGUUCUGAUCUGGGAGCUCUCUGUGACUGGCGGGGUUUGGUGACUUUAGAGGAGGCUGCCCGGGUGGGUGUGGUGGAGGGAAAUCUGGCUGUGGCUGCUGUUCUGGGAACCCAUGUCAUGCCUUGGUGGUAGCAGGUCAGGCCUGGUAGCCUGGAGGGCGGCAGCAGCUGACUCUUGCUCUCAUGACGUGAACGAGAGCAGUGAGGGUGGCUCAGCACCUCCUGAGGUAGGAGGGGAGUGGGACGAUCACUUGCAGUCUCCUCUGCCAUCAGCCACUGUCACUUGCAUAAGCUGGAAUCAGGCCUCCUGACCUCUGUGGCUCCACGGUGCCCGGGUGCGGCACUGCUGCAGGAUGUGUUGGGAUGGGCAGGUGGGGGGCCCAGAUGCUGCUUGCCCAGGGUCCCAAGACUGCUGGAGCUGACUUCCCAGGGGAAGUCUGCUGCAAAACCCGAAACGGGGGGCGCUGAAUGGCCAGGAAGAGCAUUCUUUAGGUCAUAUUUUUUUCCUUGAGUUCUGACACAGCCCUCCUGGGACAUCCUGCCUUCUCUUGUUCUGACCUCGUCUAUGACAUAGAUUAGUCAUGGUCACAUGGCUGUGCCUCAGGGCCAAAGCACAGGUCUCUACACUGCCUAAUGUGUAUUAGCCAGAUUGGAAUCUUUGCUGACUCCAAAUAUCACAUUCCAAGCUGCCCCAGGCUGUGAGAAAUGGUGGCGUUGCCUCCCCUUUGGCAGAGAAGGUUUUAGGAAGAAGCCUUGGAAGGGCUGUAAAGUAAAGCAGAUGGAGUUAGGGACCUGGGUUUUCCAAGGCAGGGAAGGAGAGGCUGAGUCUGUGUGGGCCGUACCUGGUGCCUGCCUGAAGGGCCAAGGAAUAAGUGGGUGCAGAAAUUGGGGUGGUUUCUGAGGGCAUCUUGCCAAGCAGAGAGCUCAAGUCCCUCGUCUCAGCUCUCCUAGGGAGAGGGAGAGAGCAGGGAAGGGCAGCUAGGCUAGGGUGGAAGAGGCAGGCUCUGCUGGUCCAGGGCCCCCUUCAGGGUUCCAGCUGUACCAGGCUUAGGCUUCAGUUGUGAGUGUGGAGCCCUGAGCUCAAGCAUGGAGGCAGCGUGGUUGCUCAGCUCAGCCUCUCAUAGGAAGACCUGGCACCAGUUCCGGAAGUGCCUCGCCACUAGAGAGGGUGGGGAAGGUCAGAUGCUCUAGAAUCAGUUCAUACCUGGGAGGGCUUUAACCCCAUCUUCCCCUCCCACCUGCCCCCUGCUUAGGCCACAAAGCCUCCAUGUUAUGUGGCAGAUUAAUUUGAAAAUUGAGUUGCAGCUGAAUGAGUUGAUGUCUUCAAAGUUCAGUGGUGUUUGAUUAGAGCCGUCCAGAGACUAGACUUGCUCCCAGGAAAUGAUUCUGACUGAAUAAUUAAAGUGAAUAAAGGUUAGAUUUGUGUUUCAGGCCAAAUCUGUGUUGCAUUCAGCAUCUCCAAAACAUGAAUUCCAUUAAUCUUUCAUGAACUAGCAUUAAAUUACUUUCAAUUAGUUGUCAUUCUAAUUAAAGUUGAGUUACACAGAGCAGCCUUUGUUUAUACUUGGUAGCUGUUCCCUUGCCUCCUCUGGAACUAAGUACUCUUGAGCAAAUUGUCAUUUGGAAAGUUGGUUUUAUAACUUUGUGUCCCCCCACCCAUCACUCUGAGUCAGGACCUGUUCUUUGAGCUGAAGGAUGUGGGCGCCCACGGCAGCAGGAGGGCUGGGGGAGCACUGCUGGCUAGAUUGAACCACAUGACUUGCAAAAAGCAAUCCCAUGGCUGUGGGAAAGGAAGUUAAGGAGUGUUUAAGGUAGGCCGCCCAGCCCAGGCAAGCUUGGGCAGGCCUUGGGGUACCAAGUGAGGCAUGGUCUGCCCAGGUGGGACUUGGGCAGGUCGGGAGGGAAGUGUGCUGCCCCCUGCGACGCCAUGACCUGGCUUAUUCUGAGCCUUUAUGCCUUAGGUGUGGGUGGCCUUGCUCCUGCCAAGGGGUAGAUGUGAGUUCUCAUCAGGGCCUGUCUGCAGCCUCAGUCUCCUGAGGGCCAGCAUUCCACGCUCCUGUCUAGUGGCCACAGCAGGAGGGGUUGAGGGAGGACUGAAAUAAACCACUGUGUCCCCCUGUGGGACUCACCCAUAAGUUGUCAUCCAGCAUAUUUUUUCUGUUUGUUUUCUCCAUUGAUUAUGGAUGUGACACGUUAUAACCAAGACAGAAUCUCUAAGCCAGCGUGGGGAUUCUGCAGGCUGGGGCACUUGAGGCCCUUCAAACCCAGGAUGCCAGAGGUGAGCUCGCUUUCUUUGGCUCCAGGUCUGAACAGAGGUUAGAGGUGCCGACCAUUUGCCCCACCUUUGCCAUCAGUAGCUCUUGAAGCACAAAUCAUUCCUUCUGCAGUGUGCUGCGCAGUGGAGACAUGGAGAAAGGCGACACUGCUCCUGGCCUCCCGUGCUUGCAGAAUGAUGAGCACAGUCAGAGUGCAGUGGAGCGGCCCAGUGCAGGGCCAGGCCCCGGGAAGGUGAGAGGAGGAAUGGCAGGGAAGCUCCCACUGGGGCGCUGUUGAACUUGCACCUCACGUGAGUAGGUGAUUUCCACUAGAGGACAUGGGGAAGGCAUGCACUGAGGUGUGAGGGCAUCUCGGGUGCGCCUGGGGGGUCGGGGAGAAGAGAGGAAAGGCAGGAUCCAGGAUGAGAGGAAGAGGCUCAGGCGUUACGGAGCACAUUCCUGGGGCCAGGCCCGAGAGCUGGACUCUGGCUGGUGAGCAGGGUGUGUGUCGGGACUAACCACCUGAUCCAGCAAGGAUGUUUUUGUUUUGGUUUGCUUCUUUUGAACCCACAGUGGCAGUGUGGAGGACAGAAUGGAGAGGAAAAAGACUUACAACAAUUGAUAAUUAAGAGUUGUUAUGAGAGCUGAUGGGGGCCUGGGAGUGACAGCCGAGGGCACGAGAGAAAAGAAUGGAUCCCAGGGGCGCGAGGAAGGCAGAGUGAACUCAGUGUGACAACUGCCCGUCCCUGGAGAGGGGAGGUUGUCUCUGGGGUACCCCCAGGAUGGUGCAGCUUGGCUUCUGGGUGAGUGGGGAGUGGAGUACAGAACCUGGGGGUAAACAAGGCAGGGCGUGUUUCUUUGGAGAAUGUGGGUUGCCUAUGGGUCUUCUAGGUGAGGAAUCCCAUAAGCAUUCGGUCUGAGGAGAAGGCGAGGGAUCUGGACUGGAGUUAAAACUCGAGACCGAAUAUACAGGUGGCUGCAGAAACCAGGGGUGUCUGCGACAUUGUUCAGAGGGUCGUGUGGGAGUGAGGAAAUAGAAUGGGGGAUAACCAAGACUGAACAAGGUGGGUGGAGAGGAAGAGAGCAGCGAGGUUCACGGGUUGUGUGAACAGAGGAAGGUGGACACGACAGAGAGCACACUUGGGGUUCCAUUCAUGUAAAAGCUAAAACCAAACCAAAGUCUUCAGUGGCGACAGGAGGGCAGAGUCGAGGCUGCCCUGUGGGAGUCCCUGACAGGAGCGGGUCACAGGCCGACUUCUGAGUGCUGGCAGCAUCCCAGGUCUUCCUCCAGGGGUGGCUGUGUGGGUGUAUAUGUGUGCACAAUGCGCUGAGAUUCUGCACUUUAUUGGAAGUAAUAAAUUUAAAAAGUGUUAAAAAUAAGAAAGGAGGAAAGCAAGGCAGGAGGGAGGGAUAAAGGGAGGGAGGAAGGGCAGAAGGGAAGAAAGAAACCAGGAGGAAUGGUGGCAGGAGAGGAGGGGGUUUCAAGGAGGUUGUCGGCCAGUGUCGCUCACAUGCCUGGAGCUCAAGCCACCGCGCCAGCUCUGUAGAGGCAGGAGUAACGCCUGUGGCCUUGGAGGCUGCCCCGCAGUCCUCUUGGUUCACCACUAGUGUGUGUCUCUCAUGCUUCGAGUGAGUGGUGUGGAACGGAGCCUAGCGUUGAAUCAGGACAUGGAGGAGCAAGAGCCGCUGGGGGGAUCCUGUGCCCGAGAAACCCCUCAGCUCCUGGUGGUGCCAACGGCCGCGUCUGUGGUUUCCUGAGUGCCCUCCCUGGCAAAUCCUUGUGUUUAAACUUGAUAAUGGUUAAUAAAAAAAGUAAUUAACUACUAAAAUUUGAUUAAAAAAACUUCCUUCUAUUUUAUUGUGAGAGUUUCCCAUAGAAACCACUUCAGCUUUGGCAUGGUGAACGGCAGCUUUAUUAACGGAGCCAUCUGCAGGGUUUCCUCACAAUCUGUUGCGUUGCCCAUGGCUUCCAGUGCAAACACGGGUGACUGUGAUGCAGGCUCCAGCCAGUGAUCAGAGGGGACAGCCUUCCUGGCGCUCUGAUGCAGGGACAGCUAAUCUCUCGUUCUCUUAUGUGCUGAGCUCGCCAGGAUGUCUCUCCCCUUUGGAUUGGAUGUGGGCAAGGCCUUCAUCUUCUCUUUUUCCUUUCUAGACAUGGGAGAUGGUACCUCUGCCGCACAGAUAACACCUAAACCCACCUCCACUCACUGGAAAAUGCUUUCAUGGGAAGCAGUAAUUCUCCCUGUGAGUGAAAACUGUUUCCUGAGGCCUUUUCCACCGUAGCCAGUGGUUAGAGUCCUGCUGUCAGAUUCCUCACUGGCCCCUCGACAGGCUGACCGCCAGUGCAUAUAACCUACAGCAAGCGAGCAUGGCAGCUGGCUGCACGGACUCCGGAGGCGGGAGUACCUGGCUUCAACUCGUAACUCAGCCAGUCGGCUUCUGUGUACCUCAAGUUUCUUCAUCUGUGAAAUGGAGAUAAUCGAAUUUAGUAUUUUGAAAAGAUUGAGUUAAUACAUGUUAAACACAUGAA